ACGCUCGACACCUACUGGAGGCAGCAGUGGGGAAUAUUGCACAAUGGGGGAAACCCUGAUGCAGCGACGCCGCGUGAAGGAAGAAGUAUCUCGGUAUGUAAACUUCUAUCAGCAGGGAAGAAAGUGACGGUACCUGACUAAGAAGCCCCGGCUAACUACGUGCCAUCAGCCGCGGUAAUCUGAGGCGGCUGGCAAGGC
rnacentral:rRNA from 1 species